rnacentral:tRNA from 1 species
ACGUUGCUAGUUUACUGGUAAAAUGCGUCUUUGCCAUAGAUGAGUACCGGGUUCGAUUCCCGGGCAGCGUA